UUUACAUGGUGUUCCAGUGCAGGGCUUUGAAGCUACCAAUCAUGAAUAGCAUACUCUCACAUUCCUCUUACGUUAUUUUCCCAGGAAUCUGUGUACCAUACCUGUGAUGUUGGGAGGCAUGAUGUUUUUGAAAAACUUAGACUACACUGAGAUAUGUGAAUUUAAAUCAGCAAUUUAAAACUAUCUGGAUACCUGACAGGAGGGAAACAGGAAAAGAGAGAGUAAAAAGAGAAUGAUGUUCUCACCAAGAAAAAAAGUGAGCUGUGCGUUGGGCUUUUUUUGUUUAUUUGAAUUAAAUUUGAUAACUGUGAUGGAAAGAUCUAGGAGUUAAUAGGAAACUUUUGGACGUGUCAGCAUGCAAGAUACUAUGUUUACAUUUGUUUUACAAAAAAGUCAACAUUAAGGAUGAAAAAUUGAUGACAAAGAUUGUAACAUAAUUUCUGUCUGCAUGUAUACCCUCUCUCCCGCUGUCAUAUGAUCUUAUGUUUAGGUUCUGCUUGAACUCAAAAGAAAGGAAGGAAGGAAGGAAGGAAGGAAGCAGGGGAGGGAGGGAGGAAGGAAUGAAGGAAGAAACUGAGAAGUUCAGGAAGAUUAGAUGCAAACACCAAAAUCCCAGAACAUUUUUUUCUCAGUAUUUCUUCUUCCCAAGGAGAGAGAGGAAAACUACUGAAAUAUAACUGGAAAAAAAUGUUUACUUUGAGAAGCUAACAAUAAUGAGUUAAAGGCAAAGACAUUAAAAAGUUGUACUUAAAUAUACUGACCUUCUAUAAAAAAAUAACAAAGGGAUGAAAUAAGGCCAAGUAUGUAUGAUCUAAAACAAAUCGAAAUGGAUAAAUAUUACGUUUCUGUUGGAGAGUGCUGUUUUAUUUACAGUAUUUUUUUUCAUUAGUUUCGCUUGGGACUUCCUAAUAAUGUUUGUAAUUUUUUUUCCUAAACUUAAAACUCCAAGCACACUAAAAUUUUUGCAUUUUACAAAGCACUUGCCCCAUGGCCCUGAGCCUUUGCACUGACUAUUUCUUCUGUGCAGGAUGUGCACUCCUCACAAUUCCUGCCACACAGAAAACUAGCCAACAAGGAAGUUUCCUCUUCAGAUGGAAGAAAAGAGAAUACAGAUACUCACCUAGGCAUAAGAGAAUUUUUAAUAUUAUAAAGGUGACAAUUCAAAUGAGUGGGUUAAUUAUUUUGUCCACAACUAGUAUUGGAAGAAUUUGCUAAUUAUUUGGAAAAUAAGUAAACCUAGACCCCUGCCUCAUGCCUUAUUCAAAACCAGGUUCCAGAGGUUUAGCAGUGUGAAAAUGAAAAACAAAACUACAGCUAUUAGAAUAUCAUUUAUGAAAAUAAUUUUUCUAAAAAUCAGUUACAAUGUGGAAAUUUAUGGGAAAAAGCAAAUAACUAAUAAACAUACAGGAUGACAACCUCAAUAAUGAUUAGAUAAAUGUAAAUCAAAAUAUCUAGUCUAUACGAAUUAUCACUUAGAAUGUCUUAUAAAUCUGUGAGGGGGUGAAAAGAGUCAUUCUCAAAUGUAGGUGAAAUUCUAAAUCAGUAUAAGGAUUUUAAAGGGCAAUUAGACAAUAACUCAAAAUUCCAAAUGUGCAUACAUGUCAACCCAGAAAGUUUAGUUUUGAGGAAUCAAUCUCAUAGAUAUACUCCUACAUGUGUACAAACACACACACACACACACACACACACACACACACACACAGUCAUUGCAGUAUUAUUUGCUAUAACAAUGAAUAGAGAUAACAAAAGUCUGUCAACAGGAGAUUGGUUAAAACAAUUAGAAUUCAGCCAUACAACAAAAAAUCAGUCCACUAUUAAAAUGAAUAAAGUAUAUCUGUAUUGACCAAGUUGGACAAAUAUUCAUGAUACACUUUUAAGUCAAAAAAGAAUGUUUUAGAACCGUAUGUGUUGAAUGCCUAUACAUACAAAUUCAAAAAUGAAUGCAAUGUUAUGAAGGUACAUGUGUUGUAAUUAUACAACCGCAUGCUUCAACCUGCAUAUGAGUCACCUCCUUUUUGAACCUUUCGCAAUCUCCCUGUGAAUAUGAUAUCCACCUCUUAAAUCCAUACUUUAAGAAUACACCUACAAUUCCACUACCAUCACACCUUUGUAGUUACUGAUCAAAUAAAGAUUAAAAUGUUUUUCAGUGAAAAAAAAGAUACAAACUCAUUUACAAAACAGAAAUAGUCUCACAGACAUAUAAAAUAAACUUACAGUUACCAAAGGGCAAGGUGCAGGGGGAGGGAUAAAUUAGGAGGAUGGAAUUAACAUAUAUAUACUACUAUAUAUAAAAUAGAUAACCAACAAGGACCUACUGUAUAACACAGGGAACUAUACUCAGUAUUUUGUAAUAACUUAUAAGGGAAAAGAAUCUGAA